rnacentral:rRNA from 1 species
UACAGAGGUCCCGAGCGUUGUUCGGAAUUACUGGGCGUAAAGGGUGCGUAGGCCGCGCGGGCAGUCAAAUGUGUAAUUCAGGGGCUCAACCCCUGCACUGCGCUUGAUACUUCCGCGCUAGAACCUUGGAGAGGAGUCUGGAAUUCUCGGUGUAGCAGUGAAAUGCGUGGAUAUCGAGAAGAACACUAAGGGCGUAAGCAAGACUCUGGACAAGUGUUGACGCUCAUGCACGAAGGCUAGGGUAGCGAACGGG